rnacentral:siRNA from 1 species
CCAAAUGGAUGGAUCCGCCGCAUC